rnacentral:rRNA from 1 species
UACGUAGGGCGCAAGCGUUGUCCGGAAUUAUUGGGCGUAAAGAGCUCGUAGGCGGUCUGUCGCGUCUGCCGUGAAAACCCGAGGCUUAACCUCGGGCUGGCGGUGGAUACGGGCAGACUAGAGGUAGGUAGGGGAGAAUGGAAUUCCCGGUGUAGCGGUGAAAUGCGCAGAUAUCGGGAGGAACACCAGUGGCGAAGGCGACUACCUGGCCUGUUUCUUGACGCUGAGGCGCGAAAGCUAGGGGAGCAAACGGG